UACGUAGGGAGCAAGCGUUGUCCGGAAUUAUUGGGCGUAAAGAGCUCGUAGGCGGCUUGGUCAGUCGGAUGUGAAACCUCCAGGCUCAACCUGGAGUCGCCAUCCGAUACUGCCAUGGCUAGAGUCCGGUAGGGGCCCACGGAACUCCUGGUGUAGCGGUGAAAUGCGCAGAUAUCAGGAAGAACACCGAUGGCGAAGGCAGUGGGCUGGGCCGGCACUGACGCUGAGGAGCGAAAGCGUGGGGAGCGAACAG
rnacentral:rRNA from 1 species